UACGUAGGUGGCGAGCGUUAUCCGGAAUUACUGGGCGUAAAGCGCAUGCAGGCGGCUACUUAAGUCUGACGUGAAAGCUCCUGGCUUAACUGGGAGAGGUCGUUGGAAACUGGGUGGCUUGAGGCAGUGAGAGGGGUGUAGAAUUCCCGGUGUAGUGGUGGAAUGCGUAGAUAUCGGGAGGAAUACCAGUGGCGAAAGCGGCACCCUGGCAUUGGCCUGACGCUCAUGUGCGAAAGCGUGGGGAGCAAACGGG
rnacentral:rRNA from 1 species